ACUUGAAUAGCUUAAAUUUUAAAGCUUAACUCUGAAGAAGUUAUAAUAGGAUAUAAUCCUUUCAGGUA
rnacentral:tRNA from 2 species